rnacentral:rRNA from 1 species
AUACGGAGGGUGCAAGCGUUACUCGGAAUCACCGGGCGUAAAGCGCGCGCAGGCGGCUAUUUAAGUUGGAUGUGAAAGCCUACGGCUCAACCGUAGAACUGCAUCCAAAACUAUUUAGCUAGAGUGUGGGAGAGGAAGAUGGAAUUAGUUGUGUAGGGGUAAAAUCCGUAGAGAUAACUAGGAAUACCAAAAGCGAAGGCAAUCUUCUGGAACACUACUGACGCUGAGGCGCGAAAGCGUGGCGAGCAAACAGGAUUAGAAACCCUAGUAGUCC